UUUCAUCGACAAAGAGAGGCGCAUUUGUUGCGGAAUACGAUUUCGUGGCUGAUUGAAGAAAAACUGGAGCAAAAAGAGGCCGGCCCGUCGAGUUCUCCCGUCGACAGAAGAAAUGAUAGGCCGUAAUUCAGUGGAAAAGUGGUAGUUACGUCGACGACACGACGUACUGAAUAAAAAAAGGGAUUAUCCCUGUGCAAAAGACGAUACGACGAGCUAACGCCACCUAGAAAAGCGUCAGCGGCUGGAGAAUAAAGCAUGGGAAAGAUAUUACGAGCUAACGAUAAUUUCAGCCACGUGGCUGCCACUUUAUUGCUCGACGAUGUACACCGCGUCGUCACACCGAACGAAUAAUUUAUACCACCACGUAUACGCGACAGCUGACAGUGUCGGUCAACUUCCAACUAGCUUUCUACCGAAUGUUGUUCGCGUGUUUAUCCGCUCGACUCUUUUUUUAACAAUUUUAGUACAUACGUUGUUCAACUGUACACGGUUGGGUAAAAGUAAUCGCAGCACAGUCUGGUGGAGGGUGAUUCUGCGUGAAUAAAUAUGUCGAAAACGUGGAAUAACAUUUUUGUAUAUCACGCUUGAUUGCUGAGAAAAUCGGAUCUGAAAAUUCGUCAAGUAUAUUUCAAUUUGGCUAAUUAUCGACCAGGGUCGUUGGACACGAUACAUAUCCCGUCGUCGUUCCGGUAAUAAAGCUGGAAAUCUCUGGGUUUGAGGAGCAAACGUCGUGCCACUAGAAGCACUGGCUUUUCUAAUCCUCGCCUCGGCUUGUUCAAGAGGCAAAGAAGACGAAGAAGGGGCGUUACUGGCAAGGCUUUUGCUCAGAAAGCCGCCUAAGAUGAAGAGGAUCGCUUGGAAUAUUCACCGAUAUUGCCGUCACUGGUAUUACACCGUCUUCCUCCGUUUUUCAGCGUCGUAGAAUAAUUUUCAAAAUACAAUGAGCACCUUGGAUGAAGAAUAAAGCAACCAUCAAACGAAUGUGAUUUUACCAUUUUAUUUUAUUCUUUUGUGUUUGAUCGAGAGGAUCGCCGGCGUUCGAAAGAACGAAACUUUCGAUAAAUUGAAUUCGAUGUCGAUGCGACGCACGAUGUGACGUUUGCAACGUUCAUUGACCACUUCGAGUUUUCGAAGCAGAAACGAGGCAGCUGAUUGGUCGUUGAUUACAGGCUCGACAUGCGCGGUGUAACCUUGAAAAAGGGAGGAAAACGACUAGUUCGUUCGACUGCAAGCGAUGCAAUCGCCAUCCUAAGAUAUAAAACGGACGGGGCAGGAAAAAUCGUCGCGUGGAAGGUCUAUCGAUUUGCAAAGUACCGCGAAAGAGCUCCGGGUCGCUCGAAAAUCCGGCUGGACGUCAUUGAAAAUGGCCGAUGUGUCUGCAGCUUUCGGAAGAAUUUCUAACCGGAAAUGCGAAAUGCAGCGCACGAGCAUAAAACUGGAAACGAAGGAAGAAAUAAAACGCGGUUCUUCAGGCUGUAUGCAGCAGCCGAGGGAGAAAUGAGGUAAAUUCCUCGAGGGGAAUACGCAAUCGCGAGAACCGUGCGAACUCCACGAGUAUUGCAGUCGUCGUCAUCGUGCAACCUGCAACGUUUAAACGUGUCGUUAACGCGCUCGUGCACGAACGCGGUUCGCCUCUUUUCGAAGGUCAUUGUUUGCCGACGCGGCAACGGAACGAAAGUUUCAAAAGCUACAGCCAUCGAAACGUCGAACACGAUAUUUAUCGCGAGCCGGAGAACGUAACGUAGUAACGUUAUGCGAGCGAAUUUCGCGGUGCAAGAUUUAAAGGCUCGCAGUGUCGUGUUUCGCGGAGUACAGCGUAACGACCACGGCCAAUUUAGCUGCGUUGUUUCGAAGCCAGCAGCGAGGAAUCCGAGACAGGCGCACGUUCGUGAAAAUAUGGUUAUAGCUGGGAAAAGUUGAGCGCAUACGGUCGAACAAUACACGCGCUAAAGUUGGAAAAUGCAAGUGGAACGACGCGCGACGCCCAGCACAAUGACGUUCGUAAAGACGAUCGCGCCGUCCUGCUUUUCUUUGCUGCAUCGCGCAAAACAUCAUAUAUAUGUCGAGUUAUCGUUAGGUUUACGGGCGUGUAACGAAUCUUCAUUCGGACUAGCCAUCGUUGUUGUACAAUAGAGAUUAUAUUUACUGGAAUAAAUAUAAUUUUUACAGAGUUUGACAAAUAACCGUGGUGAUUAGACGCUCGAGAUGUUAAUGACAAUGAUCUUAGGUUCAAUAACGAAUCCACGGUCAACGGGGUAACUCUUUGUUAA